UACGUAGGGUGCGAGCGUUGUCCGGAAUUAUUGGGCGUAAAGAGCUCGUAGGCGGUGUGUCGCGUCGGCCGUGAAAACCUGUGGCUUAACUGCGGGCUUGCGGUCGAUACGGGCAUCACUGGAGUUCGGCAGGGGAGACUGGAAUUCCUGGUGUAGCGGUGAAAUGCGCAGAUAUCAGGAGGAACACCGGUGGCGAAGGCGGGUCUCUGGGCCGAUACUGACGCUGAGGAGCGAAAGCGUGGGGAGCGAACAGG
rnacentral:rRNA from 1 species